ACGUAGGUGGCGAGCGUUAUCCGGAAUGAUUGGGCGUAAAGGGUGCGCAGGCGGUCUGUUAAGUCUGAAGGCAAAGGGAUGAGCUCAACUCAUUCAUGAUUCAGAAACUGGCAGACUUGAGGACAGGAGAGGGCGGUGGAACUCCAUGUGUAGCGGUAAAAUGCGCAGAGAUAUGGAAGAACACCAGUGGCGAAGGCGGCCGCCUGGCCUGUGACUGACGUUGAGGCACGAAAGCGUGGGGAGCAAAUAG
rnacentral:rRNA from 1 species